UAUACAAAAUUGCAAGUCACACAUUUUCGUUUCAUAAAACUCUUUAAUCGGCCAGUCCACAUUUAUUUAUGUCUAUGGUUUUCUUUUACUUUAUUAAACAUGGCAAAAAGUACAAGAUAAUACUUCCGUUUUUAAGCACUAUUGAAACUCUUUUUGUGUACACCUAUCAACAGCGCAUCUUGCUAUAAAAGGAUCUUUUUGUUUUGUCAACAACAAUACUAUAGAGGCCCACAUGAAGUCAAAUACGUAUCUAUGUGUGUUCAAAUGUAUACAGAGAUAAUGAAAUGUUAUUCUUUCGAAUGUGAAAUGAAACUGACCGCCAAGAAACUUGAUUUUCCCAACAGUUUCUUCCCUCAAGAAUCGCUUUAACACAUUAAAUAUCACUGAGAAUAUUUUUGGAGCUGAAAUAGGGAGAGAAAUAUGUCAAUGGAAAAACUGAAGAGUCUGCAAAUAAAAAUAAUUUAUAAAUGUCAGUGAUAAAAAUAGUAAAACUGAUGAAGGUUAAA